UACGUAGGGUGCAAGCGUUAAUCGGAAUUACUGGGCGUAAAGCGUGCGCAGGCGGUUUUGUAAGUCAGAUGUGAAAGCCCCGGGCUCAACCUGGGAACUGCGUUUGAAACUACAAGGCUAGAGUGUAGCAGAGGGGGGUAGAAUUCCACGUGUAGCAGUGAAAUGCGUAGAGAUGUGGAGGAAUACCAAUGGCGAAGGCAGCCCCCUGGGUUAACACUGACGCUCAUGCACGAAAGCGUGGGGAGCAAACAGG
rnacentral:rRNA from 1 species